CAGCAGCCGCGGUAAUACGUAGGUGGCAAGCGUUGUCCGGAAUUAUUGGGCGUAAAGGGCUCGCAGGCGGUUUCUUAAGUCUGAUGUGAAAGCCCCCGGCUCAACCGGGGAGGGUCAUUGGAAACUGGGAAACUUGAGUGCAGAAGAGGAGAGUGGAAUUCCACGUGUAGCGGUGAAAUGAGUAGAGAUGUGGAGGAACACCAGUGGCGAAGGCGACUCUCUGGCCUGUAACUGACGCUGAGGAGCGAAAGCGUGGGGUGCGAACAGGAUUAGAUACCCCCGUAGUCCCUGUCUCUUAUAC
rnacentral:rRNA from 1 species